UCUACGGGUGGCAGCAGUGGGGAAUCUUGGGCAAUGGGCGCAAGCCUGACCCAGCAACGCCGCGUGAAGGAAGAAGGCUUUCGGGUUGUAAACUUCUUUUGACAGGGAAGAGUAGAAGACGGUACCUGUCGAAUAAGCCACGGCUAACUACGUGCCAGCAGCCGCGGUAAUACGUAGGUGGCAAGCGUUGUACGGAUUUACUGGGUUUAAAGGGCGUUGAGCCGGGUUGACAAGUCAGAUGUGAAAUCCUUCGGCUGAACCGCAGAACUGCAUAUGAGACUGUUGAUCUUGAGUACUGGAGAGGCAGACGGAAUUCCUAGUGUAGCGGUGAAAUGCGUAGAUAUUAGGAGGAACACCAGUGGCGAAGGCGGUCUGCUGGACAGCAACUGACGGUGAGGCGCGAAAGCGUAGGGAGCAAACAGGAUUAGAUACCCGUGUAGUC
rnacentral:rRNA from 1 species